rnacentral:rRNA from 1 species
UACAGAGGUCCCGAGCGUUGUUCGGAUUCAUUGGGCGUAAAGCGCGCGCAGGCGGCCAUUCAAGUCAGGGGUGAAAGCCCAGAGCUCAACUCUGGAACUGCCCUUGAAACUGUAUGGCUUGAGUAUGAGAGAGGUGAGUGGAAUUCCCGAGUGUAGAGGUGAAAUUCGUAGAUAUUGGGAAGAACACCGGUGGCGAAGGCGGCUUGCCAGAAUGCGCUCGACGGUGAGGGAUGAAAGCUGGGGGAGCAAACCGG